rnacentral:tRNA from 1 species
UCCCGGUUAGCUCAAUUGGUCAGAGCGUCGGACUUUUAAUCCGAAGGUUGCGAGUUCGACCCUCGCAUCGGGAG